rnacentral:lncRNA from 1 species
GGUUGGCCGUUCGAUCGAGUCCAUCCCUUGAAGUCGUACCCUCCCAGUAUGCGUGAGUCUUCCGCCGAUUGACAGAAAUGCCGGCCGGAAUUCGAGAACGGUCCAUCCCACCAUAAUGGAUCUCUCCUACCGCUACCUACUAGUGGAUCGAUUUAGGGAAGGAAAGAAAUGCCGAUGUUGCAAUUCUUCCCAUCCCGAUAAAGCGAGUCACCCGUGAUUCGAUAGUUCCAUUUUCCGCUGAUGCAGGCCGAUUGGGAUCCCAGCAGUCAAACCACUGUGUUCGU